CCGGUAGGAUUCAGUCUCAAACUGCAGAGGUACUGGAGAGCAUUGCAGAUGAUGCUGAAGGUCAAAUGAAGGUGGAGAAACCGCAAAACAGCACGACGCGCCACCCAACUGCAAGCUAAUUGGGAAGGAAAUGGUUUCAAACUGACAGACUGUGGCCUGAUAACCGAAAUCUCAUAGGGACAAAAGCACAUUUGAAGCUGGACCAGUCACUUUUCAAGUGCUCAAGACCCAUACGUGGCUAUACAGGAUGGUAUAGACAUUUUGACUUUAGUCCUCAAAUAAGCAAGAGGAAGACAUAAACCUGAAUCUAGAAUGAAGGAAAAACAUCUCAUAGUUAUAUUCAAGCUGAUUACAGAUUAUACUACAAUGUAAGUACGGACUUCUAAAAAACGUUAUAAACCUAGAUUGUUGUAUAUGUCUAAAAUCUAACUGGAGGUAAAAGGGGAAAGAACUAGUUAGUCAUUGAUCACCUAAGGUAUGCUAGGAACUAUGCUUGUUGCUUGACACAUACUGUUUUACUAAAUCCUUACAAUAAUCUUAUGACUGUUAUUAUUGGCCCCAGUAAAAAUUAACAAAAUUGAGAUGCAGAAGGAGUAGAAGCUUACCCAAAGAAUUACAACAAGAAAUCAAUACUAGAGCUAGGAUCCUGCCUGAGUCCACGCUGCCUAACUAGGUGACAGCUCCAUUCAUUCUGAGCUCUUAGAUCACCCUAUAUCCAAGUAAAUUUAACCUUCAUUUGACAAAAAUAUUUGCCUAUUAAGCCCUCUAAAACAAAUCCAGAAAACAUGUACACCACAUAAUUUUCAUUUGUAGUUUUUACUUUCUAAGUUUUAUGGCCUUUGAUAUCUUCAGGAAAAUGUGAAGAAAAACACAUACAUUCAUCUUGUGAGUAAAUAAAUAGAUAGAUACGUGGAUAUAAAAACAGACCAUAUUUUGUGGAUGGGAAAUAUUACUGACAUACUGCUUAUAGUUAGAUGCUGUUGUUGGAUGACAUUGGGCAAGCUUGUCAUGUGUCUUCUGAUGUCUCCCUUGUCCUUUAUCAACUCACCUCCUUGCUGAACACUUUCAGAGUUUCUUGUAUGUUUAUUGGCUACUGAAUCUCCUUCCAACUACAUUUUGUAGAGUCUAGGAAACACAGUUCUGAAAUUUAAUCCUGGUUCAUUUGCUAGAA